rnacentral:rRNA from 1 species
UAAUGUAUGGGGAUCUGCCCGAUAGAGGGGAAUAACUACUGGAAACGGUGGCUAAUACCGCAUAAUGUCUACGGACCAAAGCAGGGGCUCUUCGGACCUUGCACUAUCGGAUGAACCCAUAUGGGAUUAGCUAGUAGGUGGGGUAAAGGCUCACCUAGGCGACGAUCUCCAGCUGGUCUGAGAGGAUGAUCAGCCACACUGGGACUGAGACACGGCCCAG